AUUGAACGCUGGCGGCAGGCUUAACACAUGCAAGUCGAACGAGCAGCGGACGGGUGAGUAAUUUCUUGCAAACUGCCUGAUGGCGGGGGAUAACUACUGGAAACGGUAGCUACUACCGCUUAGCAUCCGAUCUACCCAAAUGGGCUUAGCUAGUUGGUGGGGUAAUGGCUCACCAAGGCGACGAUCCCUAACUGGUCUGAGAGGAUGAACAGCAACACUGGAACUGAGACACGGUCCAGACUCCUACGGGAGGCAGCAGUGGGGAAUAUUGCACAAUGGGCGAAAGCCUGAUGCAGCCAUGCCGCGUGUGUGAAGAAGGCCUUCGGGUUGUAAAGCACUUUCAGCGAGGAGGCGUUACGCGCAGAAUAAGCACCGGCUAACUCCGUGCCAGCAGCCGCGGUAAUAC
rnacentral:rRNA from 1 species